ensembl:snRNA U7 U7 small nuclear RNA
CAGUGUUACAUCUCUUUUAGAAUUUGUCUAGCAGCUUUUCCAGUUUUCACCGGCGGGGAAAAA